ACAUUACUUCCUUUUGUCUUUAAGUUGUAUUUCAUGCUAUAUUCUUCCAAUGGUCAAACCUUAAUGUUUGAAAUAUCCCUUUUUUCCUCCAGCUGCCUUUUCAAUUCUAACUUCUUAUGUAAUGCAGAUGCUUCUCCAUUGCUUUAAACAGAAUUAGCAGAAAGCUUAAAGUCUCCACAUGGUUUAUGUCUUCCAGUGUGAUUUACCUGUGCCUGACUUGUCAGAUAUUAGAGUUUUUGUACUAAUUUUGUAAUAAUGUAUUGCAUGUGAUGUAACGAUGGAAUGGAAGAUGGAAUUAAAAGCUUGAAUUGUAUGAAAUCCUCUUCCUUGAGUGUGGAAAUAUUGACUGAGGAAAAGACUGUGCUCCCAUACAAUUAUAUGUAUAUACAUAUACACGGUGUAUAUAUAUAUGGAGUUGUGUUAUUCAUGAAGAUAGAUGAUAUAGACUUGAGUAUCUGAACGUAUUCCCUCACCUGUGAAAAUACAAGCCCAUGCAUUGUACUAAUGGGAAGGCUGAUAAAAAACAAUCUUAAGUUGUGGUCAUAGUGUUUGAUUCUGUCACUGGCAAUUACUUGAAAUAAGACAUAGAUUCUGUUUCAUGUUUAAUCGUACCCUAAUGUUGUGCUAACAUUUUUAUUUUCACCAUGUCCAUCACUGUCGUGUUGUGAUGUUUCAAGCAAAGCACAAUAGCUUUGCAAAUAUUUGAAACUUUUCAGACCAUUCAUUCUGUACAACAAAAUGCUCUUCUAAGCACACAGAAAGAAAUGGAUGGCCUUGGGUUUUAUUCUGCCUUUCGAUUUUAUUUCUCCUAUUAAAAAAGAAAUUAACUCCUGACUGUAAAGAUCAAUUCAUGCCAAAUAAUAACAAUUAGAGUAUGUAUGAGAGAGACUCGGUCUCAGACUUACUUAAUAAUAAAGUAUUUGACUUUUUACGUUGUAUAAAUAUAUGAUCUAGUCACUGAAAAUUCAAGUAUUGGAAAAUAAAAAAAUAAAAAGCAAAAGUAACAACUUUUCCUUGGAAAAAGCCUUUCUGAGUUUAUUCAUGUAAAAAAUGUAGUAAAGCACAUACAGCUAAAGUAGCUGAAACAGUCAGAGUCAUCUUGAGAGAUGUAUUCUUCCUGUACAUGAGGUAAGUAAAUUCAUUUGUGUUUUCUGAUUGUUUUUGUCAGAAUCCUCUCAGACCUUACAGUGAAUGUAUUUUGUGUGUAGGUUCUUGGGAUGGAUAUUUGCAUCACUUUGCUGAUAGGGACACUUUCUAUCAGUAUAAAGAUUAUGAACAUAAGGCUUCCAGGAUGUCUAUGAAAAUAUUAAAUUGAUGAACAUUUAUAAAAGCCUGUACUGCUUGAGGUUAAGAACAGACAAGGGAGUGAUAUUUCAUUACUGAACUUUACACUUGCUUUUGGAAUUUGCCUGGAAGACUGUUCUGUCUUUGCACUCUGUCUAUCCAUAUGGGCAUGUGCUGGGAUUUAUGAUCACAGAUACAAAGGCUGAAAUGAUAAUUGAUUGCUGGAAAUUUAAUAUAUGCCUUGUACUUUCAAGCGAGUGAAUCCAGCUUCAAGUCACAGUGCUAAGAAGGGCAUGACUUCCAGAGGAAUAAUUUGUCAUUACUUUUGUUUUAACUUCUCACUGUGUGAUAACGUGUGAGCAUAUGCAACUAACUGAGCGGGGUAAAUAUUAAAGGAUUGUUUUUCCAUGAACUUCUUGAGAAUGGUAUUUCUGAAGGACUUUUGUGAACAUUUUUAAAAUAGUUGAGUACAUAACUGUAUAAAAGGGCUACAGACACAUGUCACGCCAGUCAUCUCUGGCCACAUAACAUUUGUUAGCUUCAGAUGUACAACAGCUGCCAUCCAAACUUAUUAGUGAUCACUGUUGAACUGCAGAAUGCCUAAUGCUCUUACACAAGUAAAUUCAUGGCAACUUUUGAAAUCCAAGGUAAUAACGUGAACUUUCUGCAUAGGAAAUCCAUGCUUUUAUAUAAUCUGUCUUUGUGAAUGGAAAGUCAAUUAUUAUCAAAUGGAUUAAUCAAGAAUUCCUUGUCAGGUUUUGAUAAACUGUGUUUGACUGUAUCUUUGUAAGAUAGCUGUGAUGCUACUUGUAAGGAAAAGUCAUUUCCAUAUGCUCUAGGCAUGUGUAGGGGAAUAUAUAUUUAGAGAGCCCUUGCAAGUUUAAGGAUCUUAAUGAAGGAUGAGUUAUUGAAGGAGGAUUCCAUGAUCCACAUGCUGUUGAUCACGGUUUCCCAGGGCAUAAAAUCAGGAAAUGAUGGUCUCAUUCAGUAAGGCUGUAGGAAUUGCCCAUAUUUAAGACACCUUUUUUAAAAGUACUUUUUUUUUUCUUUCUGAAAAUACUGUAAUACCAUUAAGUGCUCCAUUAAAUAAAUAAAUAAGCCUGUUUGUCUACAUUGAACUACAGACUGGAAUGCCAGAUCUGCAAAAUGUACAUAUAAAGGCAUUAUAAUUUUACAUACAAUUGAUACGUGCCGUAUGACAGUAAACUGAGAGUUUGAGCUCUGGGCUCCUCUGGGACCUCAGUGUUUUUUCUUGUUUUGGAUGAGGUCAGCGUAAGCCAAUAUUCAGUAGAUUUUUAUCAGAAUAUGUAUUUGAUACAGGAAAACGUUUAGCGAGAGAGUUGGAGUUAUUUCCGUAUAAAUCUAUCCUUUCCAACUGUUGAGAUGAACAGCUGAUUAAAUUUAACAAAGAGGAAAACAUGAGGGCUGCAGCAGUCAUUUCUCUUGCCUUAGGUGUGAGUCACCUAUUGGAAAAAUCUUAAAUAUCUAUCAGGCUCAACACAGUCCUCAUUUAUACAUACAGAAGCUGGUGUAACACUUGUGCAAGCUGAAAUGGUGCAUUUUUACUUGAUUUUCCUUUUAUUUCCCCUUCUUUCUUAGUUUGUGCAGAUCUGAAUUGGAACCCAUAGAUAUUUAGUUUGUAAUUUAUGCUGAACAAUUCAUGCUUGCUCUCAAUCCCAUUGCACAUUUUAAAGAGUUAGGUUUGGUUUUUUCCCCCCAAAAAGUUAUUACUAGUCACACAGUCAACCGCUACCAAGGCAGACUUUCAAAAACAAUAUUGUUAAAAACUAAGUUGCAUCGUGGGAGGUUCAGGUUGGGUAUUAGGAAAGAUUUAUUCUCAGUGGUCUGUCACUGGCACAGGCUGCCCAGGGAGGUGGUGGAGUCACCAUCCCUGGAGGUGUUCAAGGACUGUGGAGAUGUGGCACUGAGUGAUGGUGGGCAUGGUGGGAUGGGUUGGCACUUGGACUAGAUUAUCUUUUCCAGCCUUAAUGAUUCUAUGGAAAAUCAGUGGAGUGUUGCUCUACCAGACAAAUCUAAGUGCAGGGUCUUUCAGAAGUACUUAGAAGUUGGUGUUGGCGGUCUUUAGGGUGUAGAGUUGUUUUUUGUUGUUGUAUUUUAAGGUCACAGGUAUUCAAAAGGAAUCUCUUGAUUGGGAGUUCAUUUCACUUCUGCACAUUUACAGUGAUAUUCUGUCAGGAACAGAAAUGGACCGAGUAUUACAAAAUAAUCAUUGAUGUCUCAGGAACAGAAAUGGACUGAGUAUUACAAAAUAAUCAUCAAUGUCUGUAACAAAAAUUUCGUCUCUAAAACCAGACUCACUCUGGUUAUAUUCCCCCGCAUCCUAAUUUUGCUAUAUUUAGUACAGUAAGAGCCUGAAAUGUAAUACUUCAGUUUUACAUUCAUCUACUCUAUAAAGCAAUAGACUUGGUUCGUUUCAGGUUUCAGCAGCUCCCCUUAAACGGAUUCAAGGCUUUUAAAAGUCACAAUUCGGGAACAGAUGAAGGUUCUGGAGACCCACAGAAUGCUUGGCACUGCAGCAUGGGAGGAGAAAGGUGUUCAUGGGUGGGUACCCACAGCCCCACUGUCUGCCCCAUGGUCACAGCCUGGGUUGCUGGAGCCAGAGGCAGCCGGCUGCUGUUCUGGACCACUGGAGAUAUGGUGGAAGUCACGUGCCCUGAGCAUGUUAUAGGAGCAGAUUAAAUUCCUUCUCCUGUUUCAUAUGCCGGAUCGGUUGGGCUUUAUGGAAAUUUAAUCCCACAUGUAUUUUUCUGGUUUAUGUCCUGGUGUAUUAUAAGAUGCCGUGAAAUUUAACUCAGAUGCUUCCUUUGCACGAGAAUUAUCACAGUAGCUUUAGAAUGGGUAAAAUACAGCCUUUUAGCAUCUUUACAGCUUAAGAAAAAGUUGGUCUUUCUUGGGUGGCAUGUGGCUCUUGUGUUCAAUGAUAUGUUCUUGUGCUGUAAACCUCCUCUGUCUUUGUAACAUCUCAAGGUGUCAGUGCUGUAGAGUUCUCAUCAUUAUCUUCAAAGAUAGUAGAGGAGAUGAGAAACCAGAUGUAGUUCAACAAAGAACAGAAAUGAUGAAAAGUUUAGGGAAAUAAUAGCUGAGAGAAAAAGUAAUGAUGGCUGGGCAUGUUUGUGCAGAGGAUGAUGCAACCGAAGAGAAAAAUUAACUGCUUCUCAGGAAAAUGGAAAGGAAUGUUAGAAAGAGAACCGGAACCAUUUCAUUUCAUCAGUAACCAGUGACAGAAUGAGAAGGAAUGGCCUUGUACAGAAAAAAAAUCAGAUUUGAAAUGAUAAAAACCUUUUUGGACCUGGUAUCUGUUUAUCAAGGAUGCUGUCAGGAUAAAGGUAUGACGAUGUGAAAGUAAACACAUAUCAUGCUGUAAAGUUAUCAGAGAAAAAACCAAAAUCAGAAGCCAGAUUUUUCUGUUCUGAUUUCACCUUUUUAAAUGUUUGCCAUUAAAUCACCAUCUGGCUUAUAAACUCUACCAAAUAGGGUAAAAUGGUGAUAAAAUACUUAUUCAGGGCAUUGAUUCAUUGGAAAAUUACAUGAGUAAAUAAAAAUAUUUAAAUGUAACCACAUACAAAAGAGUUUUUGGAUGAUUAUUCAGACGUUACUAAGCAGAGGUCCUUGGUGGCCAAAUUAGAGACAUCUAGUUUUUACAGAUUCAGGAAUUUCUCUUUGAAGUGUUUUUCAGUAGUAUGCAAAAGAAGUGGUAAAAUGUGAAUUCUCUGUUUCUCACUCAUAGUGGUGAGACCAACAUCUAUCCCUGAGAGUGUUGCUAUUCACUUCAUAUUUGAUUUUUGAUAGGUAUGAAGUGAAGUUGCUGGUUUAUCUCUUUCUAGCUUGGGCAGAACGCUUGACAUUGUUAUUCUGUGUGCUGUCCUCGAAUCUCAAAUUGUUUAAAAGCUUUGACUUUUGCCUUUUUGGAAUGAAGUCAUACCUCUGCCUUUUAGAUAGAUCGUUUAGUGGUCUUAUUAGGUGAUAACAUUUAUAAACAGUGGUUACACAAAUAAUUGAGAAUUGGAACAAAAGCCCAUCAGACUCUGACUUAUUCUAUGCUCCAUGCCCACAAAGAUUUAUUUAAUUAACCAAGAUAGAAUAAAACCUGAAUUUAUUUAUUAAAAUAUUUUGUUGAAAGAAUCCCAUUGAGAUGCAGUGUUUCAUUUCCAUGGGUAUCCUGGGAUACAGGCCAAGAUAUGACUCUUGAAGAAUGUUAUUGAGAGCAAUGUGCUUUGAUGUCUCAUUUAUUUUGCAGUUGAAUUUACUUUCUAUUUUUUCCUUUGUUAGAUAGAAACAGCCUGCUGGGAGGAUUGUUUAUUCCAAACAAGUUGUCCUGCGCCUUAAUCUUUGCCUGGGUACUAAUUGCUACUUUACAAUUAGAUAGUUUUAGAAGCGCACGUAUAUGGAAUUGUUAGCACUUCUUAAGUCAUUCUUCUGCUAGUCUGAUGAUUAAUCAGACAUACACAUCCUGCUUUAUGGUGCCAUGAACAACUUCCUGCUGCACUUCAGUUUACCGAAACCUGCCUUCCUUUUUUUUCUUUUCACUGUAACAUUAAUUUUCUUAAGCACGAGCAUCUUGCUGCUUUAAUCCUGGUUUCACUUAGUAAUAAAUAUUUGAAUUGUAUUGGAGAAAGCAUUCACAUUUUAUCUGAAUACAGAAGUCUUCUAGACAUCUCUAAUUAUCUUCUGCCAAAUCCACUUUAUCUCUGAUUAGUAUGAAAGGGUGAAUGUUUUUGUCAGGAGCUUAUAGCCUUGCUUUUGUAAUAGGCUGCAUUUUAAGUAGCCAGUUGGAUUGGUGUUGGCCUUUGAAAAAUGUAAAAUGCUUUGAAGGAAGACUUAAAUAGACCAAUAAAGAUUGUGCGAGCACACACGUUUAA